CCUAGAAUCUGAUGAAUCCAUCAAUUCAUCUCUCUAUUUUCUGUGAAGAGGGGCACGGAGCAGGAUCUAAUUCG
rnacentral:tRNA from 1 species